rnacentral:rRNA from 1 species
UACGGAGGGUGCAAGCGUUAUCCGGAUUCACUGGGUUUAAAGGGGGCGUAGGUGGGUUGGUAAGUCAGUGGUGAAAUCUCCAAGCUUAACUUGGAAACUGCCGUUGAUACUAUCAAUCUUGAAUCUCGUGGAGGUAAGCGGAAUAUGUCAUGUAGCGGUGAAAUGCUUAGAUAUGACAUAGAACACCGAUAGCGAAGGCAGCUUGCUACACGAGUAUUGACACUGAGGCACGAAAGCGUGGGGAUCAAACAGG